GAUGAACGCUGGCGGCGUGCCUAAUACGUGCAAGUCGAGCGAACGGACGAGAAGCUUGCUCCUCUGAUGUUAGCGGCGGACGGGUGAGUAACACGUGGAUAACCUACCUAUAAGACUGGGAUAACUUCGGGAAACCGGAGCUAAUACCGGAUAAUAUUUUGAACCGCAUGGUUCAAAAGUGAAAGACGGUCUUGCUGUCACUUAUAGAUGGAUCCGCGCUGCAUUAGCUAGUUGGUAAGGUAACGGCUUACCAAGGCAACGAUGCAUAGCCGACCUAAGAGGGUGAUCGGCCACACUGGAACUGAGACACGGUCCAGACUCCUACGGGAGGCAGCAGUAGGGAAUCUUCCGCAAUGGGCGAAAGCCUGACGGAGCAACGCCGCGUGAGUGAUGAAGGUCUUCGGAUCGUAAAACUCUGUUAUUAGGGAAGAACAUAUGUGUAAGUAACUGUGCACAUCUUGACGGUACCUAAUCAGAAAGCCACGGCUAACUACGUG
rnacentral:rRNA from 1 species